ACUCAAAGGAAUUGACGGGGGCCCGCACAAGCAGCGGAGCGUGUGGUUUAAUUCGAUGAUACGCGAAAAACCUCACCCAGGUUUGACAUGCACGUGGUAGGAACGGGAAACCAGACCGACCCCUCGGGGAGCGUGCACAGGUGUUGCACGGCCGUCGUCAGCUCGUGCCGUGAGGUGUUGGGUUAAGUCCCGCAACGAGCGCAGCCCCUGUUGCCAGUUAUAUUCUCUGGCAAGACUGCCGAGUAAACCUCGGAGGAAGGAGGGGAUGAGGUCAGGUCAGCGUGGCCCUUACGCCUGGGGCUACACACACGCUACAAUGGGUGGUACAAAGGGUCGCCAAGCCGCGAGGCGGAGCUAAUCCCAUCAAAGCCAUCCUCAGUUGGAAUUGCAGGCUGAAACCCGCCUGCAUGAACGCGGAGUUGCUAGUAACCGCAGGUCAGCAUUACUGCGGUGAAUACGUUCCCGGGCCUUGUACACACCGCCCGU
rnacentral:rRNA from 1 species